rnacentral:tmRNA from 1 species
GGGGACGAAAUGGAUUCGACGGGGGUCGAGGAGCUAAGGAUAGCAUGCCGAGGUUUUAUCAGUACCUCGUAAAAAAACUGAUAGCUAAAUGUAAACGCAGACAAUUAUGCGUAUGCUCUGGCUGCCUAAUUAAAAGGCAGCCCGCUCAUUUAGAUCUGGCCACAGGGUCUAAAUUGAGCGUCGGUAAUGUGGCUAUGCCGAACAUCUUGCCUGGGGGUGUUCGGUGAAAAAUUACCGGGCUGGUCUUCACAGGCUUUGUUUGUUGGGCCUGUGAAGAUGAGAUUUAACCAACAAACUAAGCAUGUAGAAGUCCUUAGUGACAGGCCCUCGGACGUGGGUUCGAUUCCCACCGUCUCCACUA